AACAGGUUGAUAUUCCUGUACCACCUCUUUAUCGUUUGAGCAAUGGAGGGACGCAGAAGGAUAGAAGAAGCGUGCGAUUGGUUGUGCACGUCCAAGCAGUUAGGCUGAUAAGUAGGCAAAUCCGCUUAUCGUAAAGGCUGAGCUGUGAUGGGGAAGCUCCUUAUGGGGCGAAGUCUUUGAUUCCCCGCUGCCAAGAAAAGCUUCUAGCGAGAUAAAAGGUGCCUGUACCGCAAACCGACACAGGUAGGCGAGGAGAGAAUCCUAAGGUGUGCGAGAGAACUCUGGUUAAGGAACUCGGCAAAAUGACCCCGUAACUUCGGGAGAAGGGGUGCUUUCUUAACGGAAAGCCGCAGUGAAUAGGCCCAAGCGACUGUUUAGCAAAACACAGCUCUCUGCGAAGCCGUAAGGCGAAGUAUAGGGGGUGACACCUGCCCGGUGCUGGAAGGUUAAGGAGAGGGGUUAGCGUAAGCGAAGCUCUGAACUGAAGCCCCAGUAAACGGCGGCCGUAACUAUAACGGUCCUAAGGUAGCGAAAUUCCUUGUCGGGUAAGUUCCGACCCGCACGAAAGGUGUAACGAUUUGGGCACUGUCUCAACCAGAGACUCGGUGAAAUUAUAGUACCUGUGAAGAUGCAGGUUACCCGCGACAGGACGGAAAGACCCCGUGGAGCUUUACUGUAGCCUGAUAUUGAAUUUUGGUACAGUUUGUACAGGAUAGGCGGGAGCCUUUGAAACCGGAGCGCUAGCUUCGGUGGAGGCGCUGGUGGGAUACCGCCCUGACUGUAUUGAAAUUCUAACCUACGGGUCUUAUCGACCCGGGAGACAGUGUCAGGUGGGCAGUUUGACUGGGGCGUCGCCUCCUAAAGUGUAACGGAGGCGCCCAAAGGUUCCCUCAGAAUGGUUGGAAAUCAUUCGUAGAGUGACAAAGGCAUAAGGGAGCUUGACUGCGAGACCUACAAGUCGAGCAGGGCGAAAUCGGGCUUAGUGAUCCGGGGUUCCGCAUGAAGGGCCAUCGCUCAACGGAUAAAAGCUACCCCGGGGAUAACAGGCUUAUCUCCCCCAAGAGUCCACAUCGACGGGGAGGUUUGGCACCUCGAUGUCGGCUCAUCGCAUCCUGGGGCUGUAGUCGGUCCCAAGGGUUGGGCUGUUCGCCCAUUAAAGCGGUACGCGAGCUGGGUUCAGAACGUCGUGAGACAGUUCGGUCCCUAUCCGUCGUGGGCGUAGGAAAUUUGAGAGGAGCUGUCCUUAGUACGAGAGGACCGGGAUGGACGCACCGCUGGUGUACCAGUUGUUCUGCCAAGGGCAUAGCUGGGUAGCUAUGUGCGGAAGGGAUAAGUGCUGAAAGCAUCUAAGCAUGAAGCCCCCCUCAAGAUGAGAUUUCCCAUAGCGUAAGCUAGUAAGAUCCCUGAAAGAUGAUCAGGUUGAUAGGUUCGAGGUGGAAGCAUGGUGACAUGUGGAGCUGACGAAUACUAAUAGAUCGAGGACUUAACCAU
rnacentral:rRNA from 1 species